UGGGGGUGGGACCUGCGUGUGGACGUGCGGAGACGGGAGACCGGCCACGUUAGCCCGGGAGUCCGCCGCUGCUUGCAGCCGGGGUUCCUCGCCGCACGGACAGGCUGCAGCGCUGACCCCAGGCCGGGCUCUCAGCUAGUCAGCCGUGCCAGUCGCACCGCCUGUCUCAGGGUAAAAGCGGUGGGAACGCGUGUGCUUUGGGCUUAUGUGUGUCUCGACUGUGAGGCGCCUCGUUCGAAUUCUCCAGUCACCUGGAUCCUUCUCCUCCAAUCAGGAAAACCCAUUUGCCCCAGACUACCCAGAAAACAUUAAAUAGUACAAUUCCGUA
rnacentral:lncRNA from 1 species